GUAGGGAUGAGAGACGAGGCACGUGAUUCCUGACGCACUUAGGCCGGUGGGGCGGGGCGGGAAGCGCUGGUGGUGCCAGCAAAUGGGCGCCCUCUCCCGUCCCUCAGAGACCACUCAGUUCAGUCAAGUCUAAAUUUGUUGAAAUCUCUUGCUGGCCAAUGAUCAAGGAUCAUUCCAAGCUGAGUUUUCUUUAAGACUGUUAUACAGAUGAAGUAUCUGUAAGUUGUUUUUUAUUUUAAAUUUUAGAAGUCAUAUGUAGUAAAUAUAGAAUAUUCUCAACUAGUACAUCUAACAGAAUUUAAAGUAUUUUUUUAAACACCUGCUACUUAAUGAAGAUGCUUUACAUCCAUCAUCUACUGAGCACUUUUCCAGGCUCUGGAGGACAUGAAAAAAGGUAUAAUAUACAACACUGAUUGUCAUGAAGAUGCCUUGAAAGUUACACAGCACAGGAGGAGUGUGAUAGCCCUUUCAGUUGGUAAUCUUCCUGUCAUGAAAGUUGCUUGCCACCUUUACUUUUGAGUGAACACAGUAAACACCUAGGUGAAAAUAUCAAUGAAAAAAAUCUACUCUCCAUACUAUGUAUAUUUCCCUAUAUGUUCUGAACCUGCUUAUAGCCACCUACCACAGUAGUCUGUAGUUUCUGUUUGCCAAACUAUUAAAAGUCUUAGUUAAAAUCAUCUAUUUUUUCUGCUGUUCUACCUUGACUUUCCCUUCAGCUCUUGCUCCUCAGGAUUGAGAUGUGGAAAGAUCCUUCUGUCCUUUACCACACAGUUCCUUUGUCAGGAAUUCCAGGAUUUCCUCCAAGUUUGCAAAGUACAUCAUGGAAAUACUGGGCUGGAUAAAGCAUAAGCUGGAAGCAAGAUUGCAGGGAGAAAUAUCAAUAACCUGAGAUAUGCAGAUGGCACCACCCUUAUGGCAGAACGUGAAGAACUAUAGAGCCUCUUGAUGAAAGUGAAAGAGGAGAGUGAAAAAGUUGGCUUAAAGCUCAACAUUCAGAAAAGUAAGAUCAUGGCAUCUGGUCCCAUCACUUUGAGGCAAAUAGAUGGAGAAACAGUGGAAACAGUGGCUGACUUUAUUUUUUGGGCUCCAAAGUCACUGCAGAUGGUGACUGCCACCAUGAAAUUAAAAGAUGCUUACUCCUUGGAAGUAAAGUUAUGACCAACCUGCUGCUGCUGCUAAGUCGCUUCAGUCAUGGCUGACACUGUGCGACCUCAUAGACGGCAGCCCACCAGGCUCCCCCGUCCCUGGGAUUCUCCAGUUAAGCACACUGCAGUGGGUUGCCAUUUCCUUCUCCAAUGCAUGAAAGUGAAAAGUGAAAGUGAAGUCGCUCAGUCGUGUCCGACUCCUAGUGACCCCAUGGACUGCAGCCUACCAGGCUCCUCCGUCCAUGGGAUUUUCCAGGCAAGAGUACUGGAGUGGGUUGCCAUUGCCUUCUCUAUAUGACCAACCUAGACAACAUUAAAAAGCAGAGACAUUACUUUGUCAACAAAGGUCCGUCUAGUCAAGGCUGUGGUUUUUCCAGCAGUCAUGUGAGGGUAUAAGAAUUAGACUAUAAAGAAAGCUCAGCACCAAAUAAUUGAUGCUUUUGAACUAUGGUGUUGGAGAAGACUCUUGAGAGUUGCUUGGACUGCAAGGAGAUCCAACCAGUCCAUCCUAAAGGAGAUCGGUCCUAGGUGUUCAUUGUAAGGACUGAUAUUGAAGCUGAAACUCCAAUACUUUGGCCACCUCAUGCGAAGAACUGACUCAUUUGAAAAGACCUGAUGCUGGGAAAGAUUGAGGGCAGGAGGAGAAGAGGACGAGAGGAUGAGAUGGUUGGAUGGCAUCACCGACUCAAUGGAUAUGAGUUUGUGUAAACUCCGGGAGUUGAUGAUGGACAGGGAGCCCUGGUGUGCUGUGGUUCAUGUGUUGGUAGAGUCAGAUUUGACUGAGCGACUGAACUGAACUGAUACAUAACAAAAGUUUAUCAUUAAGCAUAGAGUUCAGUGGCCUUAAGUAUAUCCACAUUGUUGUGUGACUGUUAACCACCAUCCAUCUGCAGAACUUUUUUAUUUUUCCAAACGAAAACUCUAUACCGAUUAAAAAAUUCCUUAUUUCCUCUCCCUACCCUGAACUAAUUAUUUUAAGUUUAUCUAUUUUUGUAUCUGUUUACCUGUUUUGCUUGCUAUUAUUAUAAAUGAGUAUAUAUUGAAUACUACGUAUAUGUAUGGAGCUGGGCCAGAUCAGGGUGAAGUUACAUUUAUAAGGGAGGCUGAGCAGUUUGCCAUUAGGUGGUUUCCUGGCUGACAGACUUGUAUCAUAUUCUUGAUCUUACAUCUGCACUCCAGUCCGUGAAAUGUGCAGAAGUACAUAAGCUGUUUUUUGUUUCAGAGUUUACCAGGAAAAUGCCUAAUUUUACCAGUCUGACAAUUCUAAGUCAAGAUUCAACUGAAAUAUUGCUUUGAUUUCAUCUGAUAUCUUGAGUACUUGAAUGAACAUAUUUACAAAAUUGCUAAAUGUAAAAUGAAUGGUAGCUUGAUUAUUUUUUUAACGCCUGGAAAAAUUUAUAUAUUUAUAUAUUUGAGGUGUCCUUGUUUUCAUUCUUUCUCUCUUUUUUUCCUUUGUUAUGUUCAAGUGCACCUCUUCCUUCUCCUGCCCUGUUGGUUACCUAUUUCUCAUGGUUUUUACUUUUAGUCUUUUGCUUAGAAAUCUCACUUUUUUCAGUUCACCGAUGUCUUUGUGAGAAAAUAACUCCUAAGUCUUUAUAGUUGCCACUUGAACAAUAUGUGUUUGAACUGCGUGGAUUCACUUUUAUGUUGAGUUUUUAAUAAUAGUACACAAUUUGUGACUGGUUGAAUCUACAGGUACAAAACUACAGAUACCGAGGGCUGACUAUAAAGUACACGGGUUUUUGACUGGAUGGAGGAUUGGUACCCGUAACUCCAUGUUGUUUAAGGGUCAACUGCAUUCUUAACCCGAAGUCAUAGUUCUGAAUCUAGAACUGUCCUGAAAUUUUCUCUUAUGUGAUCUGGUAUCACCUCAAAUAUAUCUAAUAUUGGACUUAACAUUUUUCCUGCCACUUUAAUCCUCCUCUUUUCUCUUUUUUUUAAAAAAAAAAAAAUAGCACUGCUAUUUUUGUCAUUACCUAAGUUUGACAUUUAGCAGUGAUUUGCUGUUUCUUUCUGAAUUCAACUAGUCACCAAAUCCUACCAACUGUUUCUUUUAUUAUGAUCAUUGUCACAUAUGACCCUUUCCAUUUUUAUUGUACUCUAGCCAAUAUAGGGCCUAAUCAGCUGAUACCUAGGUUACUGCAGUUGUCCCCUACUGAUAGAGUUUUUCUCUUGAGUCCCUUGUACCACUUUUUUUUUUCCUGUAAUUCUCACAUAAAAAUUGUGAAUGUCUGUUUUGGAUUAUAGUUAAUUAUGUCCCACUGCUGUCUUUUUAGUCUUUGUACUCCCCAGAAGCCUUGCAACAACUGAGUGACUGAACUGGAAUGUUUUUAAGAAUAUGGUAUUCUUACGAAUAUUGUAUAAUUAUGUAUUUUGUACAGCAUUGCCAUGUUCUUUCAUUCAUUUAACAAAUAUUUAUUGAGUGCUUAUUAUGUACCAAGGAUGUGUAGCUUCGAAGGGUAUAAUAAUCUUAUAGCAAUCAAUAAUCAAACAAAAACUUAUGACUCUGGUGGCUUAUAUUCCAGUGAGGUCGUGCAAUGACAAAGGAGCAAAAUGCAUAAUGUCUUAGAUGGUGAUAACUGAAAAGGAGAAAAAAAUAAAUGAAGUGGGGAAAUAGGGAGUAUUGAGGGUGAAAGGUUGACAUUUUGGAUAAGGUCCUAGGAAGGCCCUUCUGUAAAGGUGGCAUUUCAGUAAAGACUUGAAGAAAAUGAGUGGGAAAGGCAGCAAAUAUCUGAGGAAAAGAGGUUUCCAAGCAAAGGGAGCAGCAAGUGCAAAGGUCCUCAGAUGCAAGCAUGUCUGGCAUGUUUGAAUAUUAGGGAGGAGUAGAGUGAGCUGGAAGAUGGGUAAUAUUAAUAGAAAUCAAAGGUAUAUAUUAGGAAGAUAGGUAUAGAGUGGAAAAAUACAGGUUGAGUGGGGCCUUGUAGGACACAAUUAGGAGUGUGUUUUUUUUUUUUCUCUGAAUGAAAUGUUUAGCCUUGGGAAGAUUUUGAAGUUAACAAGUGACAAGAUCCUUUUUGUUAAUAGAAUCAUUCUGGCAGCUAUAAUUGAAAAGAAAGAGGAAGCAGGAGAUCAGAUAGGAGCUAUGACCCAGAUCUCAGUGAGAGAUCCUAGAGGCUCAGACAUCAGUGAUAGCAGUGGCAGUCGUGAGAGGCAUUCUGGUUUGGGAUGUGGUUGAAGUAGAACCAGUAGAAUUUUCUGGUGGGUUGGAUGUGAAACAUGAGGGGAAAUGGACAGUCAAGGAUUAUUUGAAGUUCUUUUGGCCUGAGCAGCUGAAGAAUGGAGUUACUAUUAACUGAGAUACAGGUGCCUCUGAGAGGAGCAGGUUUGGUAGUGGGUUGGGCUUCCCUUGUGGCUCAGAGGAUAAAGCAUCUGCCUGCAAUGCAGGAGACCCAGGUUCGAUCCCUGGGUUGGAAAGAUCCCCUGGAGAAGAAAAUGGCAACCCAUUCCAGUAUUCUUGCCUGGAGAAUCCCAUGGACAGAGGAGCCUGGUGAGCUACAGUCCAUGGGGUCGCAAAGAGUUGGACACGACUGAGUGACUUCACUUUGUUAGGAGUUAAGAUCUGUACGUGCUCAGUUUGUGAUCCCAGCUUGACAUCCAAGCAGAGCAAAACUGUCCAGGUUCAGGUGGGUAUGAAAGUCAAAGUCACUCAGUCAUGUCCAGAUAUUGGCGACCCCUGGAAUUCUGCAGGCCAGAAUACUGGAGCCGGUAGCCUUUCUCUUCUCCAACGUCUCCCCAACCCAGGGAUCAAACACAGGUCUCCCGCAUUGUAGGCAGAUUCUUUACCAGACCCAGGUCUCCCACACUGCAGGUGGAUUCUUUACCAGCUGAGCCACAAGGGAAGCCAGGAAUACUUGAGUGAGUAGCCUAUCUCUUCUCCAGCAGGUCUUCUUGACCCGGGAAUCGAACCUGAGUCUCCUGAAUUGCAGGCAGAUUCUUUACCAACUGAGCUAUCAGGGAAGCCCUAUUAGACUGAAAUCUAGGAAUCAGGUCUGGGAGUCAUCAGAAUUGAGAUAGUGUUUAAAACUAUGAGACUGAGUCAUCAGGAAAUGAAUGUAGUAACAAAAGAUUAAACUUUUUGAAAUAAACUAUUUGAAAUACCCUGUAUCUCUGCUUAGUACAUACCUUGAAAGGCUCCAGGUUCUCAUGCCUUUCACAGUUAGUCUAGUAUAAAUCUCUUCGAUCAGUCACACUGGAUACUUGCUGAAGAUCUCCUUUAUCCUGUCACCACAGAAUGAUCUAUUUCUUUUCCAAACACCAAUUAUUCUUUCAUUUUGUGAAAGUCUGCAUCUUGAUUCCACUCCCCCUUUAUCUUGUCUGUGUUGUGAAGUUCAUUAUAUUUUUAUACGUGUCCUUUUUUCCUCUAAUAAGCUAAUGAAAUCUGUAGCAGGAGCCAUGAUUUUUAAUAUUUUCUACAAUGAUCAGAAGCUCAGAUCUCCUCCUCAAGGGAUAUCUUUGGAGAAAGCCUUUACAAACAUUAGAAACCCAGGGGAAGCAAGGCUGUUUAGAAGCAUCUGGACAUUAAUUUUGGUUCCUCCCAUUACAUAAAAAGUUGUGAUUGUGAUCGCCAGAUGUACGCUGUUGACACUAUGUAUAAAAUAGAUAACUAAUGAGAACCUACUGAGAGAGUCACUUCCUAGGCAGUUUGAUGAGAAGUCUGGGGUCCCCGAGGAGGAGAGAGGGUCCUGGGGUUCUCAAAGAGGAGAUAGGGGUCUGGAAUUCUCAAGAAGGAAGAAAGACCAACUCUUUUUUUUUUUUUUCUUCCCCUCUACUUUCCUUAGUCUUAGUCACAUAAAAUGUUUUUUUCUUCAAGCCCGGAAUUGAUGAUUACACAACAAACAACUCAGUUUAAACUGAGGAUAAUAUACCAACAAUGUAUUCUGCUUGAGGACAGUUUCUCCUUCCUGAAAACCUUCUGACUAAUCUUGUUAUUGUAAAGUGUUUAUUAUGGGACUGGGUCAGGUAGGAUCUUUCUUUUUUUAAGUUCUAAUCCUGUUAUCCUAAAAUAUAAAUUGUGGGAGUAGGUCUGGUAAAAUUUUUACAACCUUGAGACAUUCUUUUGAUUUAUUGUAAUAACUAAUUAAAAAAGUAUAUGAUUCCCUUGCUAAAGACUAGCGAGUGGGGCACUCUCCACCUCCUUCCCCUGUCUAUCGUCAGAAGGUUUCUCUGUCUUUUUUCACUGUAAUAAAACUUCUGCCACACAAGAGCCCUGUGUGGUCAAGCCUGGUCUCUGGUCCUGAAGCUAAAUCUUUGGAGAUCGCGAAUCCGACAUCGUUCACUGUAAGCUGUCACUACUCCAUAGCACGGGGAGCUCUGCUCAGUGUUCUGUGCUGACUUAAAUGGGAAGGAAAUCCAAAAAAGCGGAGAUACGUGUAUGUAUAAAGCUGAUUCAGAGAGCAGCCAAGAUGGCGGAGGAGUAGGACGGGGAGACCACUUUCUCUCCUACAAAUUCAUCAAAAGAAUAACUGAACGCAGAGCAAACUUCGCAAAACAACUUCUGAUGCUAGCUGAGGUCAUCAGGCGCCCAGAAAAGCAGCCCAUUGUCUUCGAAAGGAGGGCUGUAUAGUUGGAGAAGUCCUGAGACUACAGGAAGAAUAAAACUGAAAUCCAGAGGCAGGAGACUUAAGCCCAAAACCUGAAAUCACCAGAAAACUCCUGACUACAUGGAACUUUAAGUAAUAAGUGACUGUCCAAAAGCCUUCAUACCUACACUGAAACCAACCACCACCCAAGAGCCAAUAAGUUUUAGAGCAAGACAUACCACGCAAAUUCUCCAGCAACGCAGGAACAUAGCCCUGAGCGUCAACAUACAGGCUGCCCAAGGUCACACCUAACACAUAGACCCAUCUCAAAACUCAUUACUGGGCACUCCAUUGCUCUCCAAAGAGAAGAAAUCAAGUUCCACGCACCAGAACACUGACGCAAGCUUCCUUAACCAGGAAACCUUGACAAGCCAAUCGUCUAACCCCACCCACUGGGUUAAUCCUCCACAAUAAAAAGGAACCACAGACCUCGAGAAUACAGAAAGCCCACUCCAGAUACAGCAAUCUAAACAAGAUGAAAAGGCAAAGAAAUACCCAACAGGUAAAAGAACAUGAAAAAUGCCCACCAAGUCAAACAAAAGAGGAGGAGAUAGGGAAUCUACCUGAAAAAGAAUUUAGAAUAAUGAUAAUAAAAAUGAUCCAAAAUCUUGUAAAGCUGAUUCACUUUGCUGUAUGGCAGAAACUAACACAACAUUGUAAAGCAAUUAUACUCCAAUAAAGAUUGUUUAAAAAGUGGCCUCAUUAGCACUGAGUUUGGCUCAGGAACCAGCAGGAACCCAGAUGUCUGUAAUAUCUUGCCAUUAAAGGGCAUAACUUGUUAGAGAUUGUAUUGCACAAAGUGCUGAUUUAAGCCCUAAGCAUAAAAGAGAGUGGAACCAAGAGAACUGAGCUGGCCAGAUACUGCAAGACCCCACCUUGUCCUCUCACUGUAGGCCGAUGGAAGCUCUGCUGAGAUAUGCUACAUUUGUCCCUGCUUUUAGUGGCACCCUCACUGCUGAGAUUUGA